UCCUCCUUUUUUAUUUUUUUUUUCUGCGCUCCCUCACAGCCCAAAUUAGACGGGUCACAGUGUUUUUCUGGCACCCGUUUAAGUAAUCAUAGAGAUGGAUGUGCAUAAAAAGAGAUGGAAGAAGAAAGAGAGGCAUAAGGCUCUGGUGGGCUGUAGACAAGGAUACUUGAGAUAUGUGCCAGCCAUGGUGUGGAACAUAUCAAUCUACCGUGAGAGCAAGGAAGAAGUAUGAGUAAUUUCAACAGCUGAGUCUUGAUGAGAGGAUGGAAAUGUCUGGCAAACACAUCAGUUCUUUAUUCCAAGGAAAAUGGGAUUGUGAAGAUGGGGCUCAUCAACCCAGUCGGGGGAGCUUAAAGAGGUGUGGAUUCCCAGAGGCAGAUGUGAUGAACUGGUUUAUACUGUCAGGAACCCUCUAGGACCAUCCACCAUUACUCACCUGCCUGUCCACCCUCUGCAGCUCCAGUACCUUUCAUAUUGCCACCUAGAAGAAAGAAAAAAGACGCAGCAUAGUGAUCUCAGUUUCUGUGACUACACUGUACUGACCUUCCUUCCUUGCAACUCCUUCAUAUCUGUACCAAUAAGUAUCCUACCCAUCAUUACCUUUAAAUCUGAACCAUAACCCAUUUAUUAUAAUCACUUGCACAUCUCUGUGGCAUCCUGGAUUUCACAUAUGAAAUCAGAACAAAAAAACUUUAGUCCAUUUGUAGCAAUAAACUCUUUUUAUCUUUAGUGUCAGUAAAUCUUGGUUGUGCGAGUGUGAAAACAGCUACCUUUGUUUUUUAAGAAACAAAUUUUAACAGCAAAACUAGACGAAGAAACUCUGACAAUCUCAUAGAACCUGUUUUAGCAUUUUUGUUUGCGUUUGUUUGUUUUUAUAGUGUUAUAUUGGGCUUUAAAUGUGUGCCCGCAGAACUUUGUCAAACCAGAGCCAAAGUAUAACUUCACAUGAUGCUCGACAUUCCUCAUUUUAGGGAAGAAAGUGUUUUAUGUAAGAGUUGUCAUAAAAUACAAUUUUAUUCUUGUUAU